CAAAGCCGUCUGGAAACAGUUUGCAAGGGGUAGUUAAAGAAGAUUAAGCCGAAACAAAAUAUCGUUUUUAGCUACUUUAAAUUGACCUCUCAAGGUUCCAGUUUUGAUUACUGGGCAUACAAAUCUUCAUUUCAGACCAUGGUCACAAAAUAAAAAUUGUACAAGGACGUUUUCGAGAAGAUUUUAAGCUGUAUGUGUCGAUUGUUGGUGUUCAGGAAUUAGCAAGCUAGUUAGCACUAGCCUAGAAAUAUUAGCUAGCUAACUAGCCUAGCUUGCUAACGUUAGCUUCAAGUAGUCUGAUUUUCAACUGAGAUGUUUGCAGUAUUUCUUGGAUGUCUACGGACGGCAGAUUGCUGAACCAGAGGGCCUCAAAUGGGAAAAACAAGCAUCGGACAGGAAUAUCAGGGAUAAGCUUGUCGACGUAACUCAGAUUCUGUUGAAGGAUUCUUUGGAUUUCCCGACUGCAGCCCUUUUUAAAGCAGGAUUUUAACGUCACCCAUCCGCYGACAGCCAUGGAAUCGUCUCAAUGCACCCCUUGUCCUGUGAGCGCCCAGGCUGUCGUGGAUCCCGUGCCCCUGCUGUUCAACUGACGGUCGAUGACGAUGCGAUGGAAGCGUGAAUGAGGUUUGGCGUGGCGAUAGCUGAACGAUGCCCAAGGGUGGGGGUUCAAAAACCCCCCAGCUGGAAGACUUCCCACUCAACACUGACAUGGUGGAGAAGCAGAGUGGGAAGAAGGAUAAAGUAUUGUCAAACAAGACUCCUAAAUUGGACCGCAGCGAUGGCGUCAAAGAGAUGAAAGAGAAGGCAUCCAAGAGGAAGCUUCCCUUCACUGUUGGAGCCAAUGGAGACCAGAAAGAUUCUGACUCA